GACCCUGAGAUAUGACCUGAGCUGAAAUCAAGAGUUGGGUGCGCUACCGACUGAACCACCCAGGAGCCCCUGUCAGAUCCUUAACAGCUGUACAAGGUGUUUCAUAUUUGGUGCCACAAGCCCGUGGUGGCUGAAAUGCCUUCUGUGCAGCUGGAGAAACAAAUGUACAGAUGGGACUGACAGGUGGAGGGAAUAUAAAUCUGAUGACGGACGCCAGAUACUCAAUGUAACUAGAUAAAGAGGAAAAAGACAUAAUGGAAGAACGGAUAAGCAUUACAAUUCUUGUAAAACAAAUACCAUAACAUCAAAGAUCCAAGGAUUUUACCAUUGUUUUAAUCGCAAAUGUACUGCACUGGUCUGGCAAGUCACAAGGACCCCAGAAAUGUACACACCCUCUUGGAGAAACACACUAUUUCAGCACAGCACUUGCCCUGAUGGCCAGAAGACCAACCAGAGCUUCUGUAAAAGAGGAAGAUUAAGCCUCCCAGGAUGCCCUCUUAC